rnacentral:rRNA from 1 species
AUUGAACGCUGGCGGCGUGCCUAACACAUGCAAGUCGAGCGGCAGCGCGGGGCAACCUGGCGGCGAGCGGCGGACGGGUGAGUAACGCUUGAGAAUCUGCCUAUUAGUGGGGGACAACCCGGGGAAACUCGGGCUAAUACCGCAUACGCACUACGGUGGAAAGCCGGGGGACCGCAAGGCCUGGCGCUAAUAGAUGAGCUCAAGUCGGAUUAGCUAGUUGGUAGGGUAACGGCCUACCAAGGCGACAAUCCGUAGCUGGUCUGAGAGGACGACCAGCCACACCGGAACUGAGACGCGGUCCGGACUCCUACGGGGGGCAGCAGUGGGGAAUAUUGGACAAUGGGCGAAAGCCUGACCCAGCGACGCCGCGUGGGUGAAGAAGGCCUGCGGGUUGUAAAGCCCUUUCGGUGGGGAAGAAAUGCUUCGAGCUAAUACCUCGGGGCUUUGACGUAACCCACAGAAGAAGCACCGGCUAACUCUGUGCCAGCAGCCGCGGUAAAAC